rnacentral:rRNA from 1 species
GACGAACGCUGGCGGCGUGCUUAGCACAUGCAAGUCGAACGGAAAGGCCCUGCUUUUGUGGGGUGCUCGAGUGGCGAACGGGUGAGUAACACGUGAGUAACCUGCCUUUACUUUGGGAUUACUUUAGGAAACUGGGGCCAAUUCCGGGAAGGGACUCCUGCCGCAUGGUGGGGGUUGGGAAGGUUCGGCGGUUGGGGAUGGACUCGCGGGUUAUCCGCUUGUUGGUGGGGUAGUGGCUUACCAAGGCUUUGACGGGUAGCCGGCCUGAGAGGGUGACCGGCCACAUUGGGACUGAGAUACGGCCCAGACUCCUACGGGAGGCAGCAGUGGGGAAUAUUGCACAAUGGGCGGAAGCCUGAUGCAGCAACGCCGCGUGCGGGAUGACGGCCUUCGGGUUGUAAACCGCUUUCGCCUGCGACGAAGCGUGAGUGACGGUAAUGGGUAAAGAAGCACCGGCUAACUACGUG